AUGGGAAGAGCCCAGCGCAUAAGCUCGCGCGAGCGGUGUUGCGUUUCGGAGGGUCCGGCACGCCACCCGACGCUAAGUCAUGUUUGAAAGCGGCCACUACCCAUGGAGGGUGAAAGGCCCGUCUGGCGGCCCGUGAGGGCAAGGUGGGGCGGUCGGAAAGGACCUUCCGUAGAGUCGGGUUGCUUGAGAGUGCAGCCCAAAGCAGGUGGUAAACUCCAUCUAAGGCUAAAUAUGACCACGAGA
rnacentral:rRNA from 1 species